UUUUUAGUGGUGGGCACUGGGCCCAAACGGAACCACAGCCCUCCUAUUUCCCUCCCCCAUGAGGUGGGCAAAAGGGCUCCAUGGGGCUUAGACACUGAGGGAAGCAUCUGCAUGACUGAGCGGAGAAGGAAGGAGAUCUCUUGAAGCGGAAACGGUCUGUUGCCGAGUGGGGUCUUGGAAGGAAGCUGGAUAGAGAGAGAGCCUAAAAACGAGGAUGGAAGCUAAUAGCAGGGGAGCAUCUGUCAGAGGAAUAGCUCAUCCCAGUCCAUUCAAAUCCACCUUCUGCCAGAAUCUGUACAAAGACAAGGUGUGAAGCUGGAGGAAGAAACACCCCCCUGGGUCUGGGACAGUGACAUCACAGGCCAACCACCAACCAAGGCCAAGGAGACCAGAGCCUGGCUCCCUGCCCAGAACACCUAGUUACAUGGUGCUCACCUUGGCCCUGACUCCACCAUGGGCUUCAGGCUGCUCUGCUGUGUGGCUCUCUGUCUCCUGGAAGCAGUCCCCGGGGACACUGCAGUUACCCAGACACCAAAACACCUGGUCGCAGCGACAGGGAGUAAGAGGACCCUGAAGUGCGAACAACGUCUGGGACAUAACGUUAUGUACUGGUACAAACAGAGUGCUCAGAGGCCACCGAAGCUCAUGUUUGCCUACAGCUAUAAGGAACUCGCCGAAAAUGACAGUAUCCCCAGUCGCUUCACACCCGAGUGCUCAGACAGCUCCCACCUGCACCUUCACGUGGCCGCCCUACAGCCAGAGGACUCCGCCCUGUAUCUCUGUGCGAGCAGCAAGGACACAGCCCCGCACAGCCAACUGCUCCCCGUGCACAAACCUCCUGGGUGCAGCCGGGGAGCCGUGGGGGCGACCACGGCUCAGCUCGACAUCUCCAGUGGGACCCCAGACAGACAGAAACCCCAGGCCAUGACGUGCCGGUCGGUUCGCUGGAUGCAGCAAGGCCCAGUUCCCUGCACAGACGGCCACAACCUGUGGCCUGGCUCUGCCCGGGGCCAGACUGUGCCCGCGGCUGAGUGCGGGACGGAAAGGGUCCACCUCAAGUUCCUCCUGUAGCUUCCGAUCGGCACGUGAUCCCGGGGACUCUUUCAGGAGACGCGCUGCACUCUGGCCGCGGCGGCCCUGCCAAGCCUCCUGCCAACGCAUACAUUUCUUUGCCUGUUCCUUCCACCCAGGUGAGACCCUGGAUCUCAGCCCUGGUCCCAGCUCCAGACGCGCUCCGAGCCCCUUUGCAGAACACCUGCUUGCCUCACCACAGGGCCCUGUCAGUCCCUGCCACUGAGGAUAGUGGCUCCCUCGUGAGGUUCGGAUCGCUGUCCUCGAGGCCACUCUCUGCUGCACACCCGGGGACUCAGCUCUGCGCAGGCUCCUCUUCGUCUCGGGCUUUGACACUUUGAGGCUGGAUUCUUUUUCCUUCUGUCCCUUUAAUCCUAAUUCUUCAGGUCUCCACAUCCUGCGUUAUCAGCCAGAGAGCCUGAUGGCCCUGGAUCGUUGCCCGCAACAGGCAGGAAGGGGAGAAGGCCCCCAGCGUUUCAGAGCAGGACCGUAUACUCGGGGUUGUCUGUGCUGAACCCCAUAUUUUCUGGCAUCGCCCCUUGCAAUGGCCCCAGUGCUGCACACACCUUGGGACCCCAAGGGCUGAGCGGAGCCCUGUGUCCUGGGGAGUCCGAUGCCCGCACUGACACAAAGGCUCCCUCCUCUCUCCUGUAGGGGGCAGUGAGGACCCCUGAGCAAAGUUUCAGACCAAAAAAACCAGGUGCUGGUUGAACUAAUGUGGCAACUCUCCUAUCAAGGCACAUCCUUAGACUGUGGGGUUUCUUUUACCUGAAUGCGACUCUUCCCUGUCAACUGGUUGAAAGAGAUAAACACCUCUGGAUUCGGUAUUUUUUAAGGACUGUUUUAUCAUGAAACAAAACUAGCCUGCUGUAAAGUGCAUUGUUUGGUUUAAGGUUUGACAGGGAUCCUCUAAACAAACACUGUGUCCCCACAAAUCAUGCCCUACAGAGGACCAGAGGAGAAGAACGGGGUCCUCACGGGCGGUGUCUUGCUCCGGACCCGGCAGGCCCACGGUUUCUGAGCUGUGGUCCUCAGGAACCAAGGGGUCCCUGAGUCAUGGCUGUCGACACUCAGGGUCAGCACUGAGCUUUGGGGAAUCGGAGAAGGGGCUUCCAGGUGAGGUCCCGGUGCCCAAGCCAGCUGCAAAGGGAAGGAGGAGACCAGCCUUUGGGAAAUGGGUUCGAGACAUAAGUGUGUGUGUGUGUUCGCCUGUUCUUUUAUUCUGUAACCCAGCUGUCCUUCCCCGAUUUCUCUUUUCUUCUCACUCAAGGCUCGACCUGGAGCUUCAGAUCUGCAGAGACACCUGCCCUAAACCACACAGGCAGCAAACGGGCCUCCGCUGCCACCAGCUCAGAGCCAGUGGACAAUGAAUGGGUUGGGCACUUAGUGUCCUCGUCCAUCCUCCUUCCCUUGCGCUGAAAUGUCCUGUCAGGCUUCAGGUCUCUCCUCCUCAUGUGCGCUCCUCUCCACACUGACGCUCCCAGGUUGUUUCUUUUUUUGGUCCCUUUAUUCCCAGCGUUAAGUCGUCAGGCUCCGAAGUGCGAGUCACAGAGUCGACGCGCCACCGGACUGUGGCUGCCAUGUGGCUGCGGGGAGGAGAGCGGGUCCUGCCGGACCCUUGGCCUGGUGCCCUGAGGCCCUUACUCUCGGAGGGUCCCUCUGCAGCUGCCAUAUUCCAGUAGAGCGUGAAGACCAGGGGCUGAGCCCCAGGG